rnacentral:rRNA from 1 species
GAUGAACGCUAGCGGCAGGCUUAACACAUGCAAGUCGAGGGGUAUAGUUCUUCGGAGCUAGAGACCGGCGCACGGGUGCGUAACGCGUAUGCAAUCUACCUUUUGCAGAGGGAUAGCCCAGAGAAAUUUGGAUUAAUACCUCAUGGUAUGUGAGAAUGGCAUCAUUUUCACAUUAAAGUCACAACGGCAAAAGAUGAGCAUGCGUCCCAUUGGCUAGUUGGUAAGGUAACGGCUUACCAAGGCAACGAAGGGUAGGGGUCCUGAAAGGGAGAUCCCCCACACGGGUACUGAGACACGGACCAGACUCCUACGGGAGGCAGCAGUGAGGAAUAUUGGACAAUGGGCGCAAGCCUGAUCCAGCCAUGCCGCGUGCAGGAUGACGGUCCUAUGGAUUGUAAACUGCUUUUGUACAGGAAGAAACACUGGUUCGUGAACCAGCUUGACGGUACUGUAAGAAUAAGGAUCGGCUAACUCCGUGCCAGCAGCCGCCGUAAAAC